rnacentral:rRNA from 1 species
UACGUAGGGUGCAAGCGUUGUCCGGAAUUAUUGGGCGUAAAGCGCACGUAGGCGGUUCGUUAAGUCGGAUGUGAAAGCCCUCGGCUCAACUGAGGAAGUGCACCCGAAACUGGCGAGCUUGAGUACGAAAGAGGAUCGCGGAAUUCCGAGUGUAGAGGUGAAAUUCGUAGAUAUUCGGAAGAACACCAGUGGCGAAGGCGGCUCACUGGACUGGUAUUGACGCUGAGGUGCGAAAGCGUGGGAGCAAACAGG